UACGGAGGGUGCAAGCGUUAUCCGGAUUCACUGGGUUUAAAGGGUGCGUAGGUGGGCAGGUAAGUCAGUGGUGAAAUCUCCGGGCUUAACCCGGAACUGCCGUUGAUACUAUCUGUCUUGAAUAUAGUGGAGGUGAGCGGAAUAUGUCAUGUAGCGGUGAAAUGCUUAGAUAUGACAUAGAACACCCAUUGCGAAAGGCAGCUCGCUACACUAUCAUUGACACUGAGGCACGAAAGCGUGGGGAUCAAACAGG
rnacentral:rRNA from 1 species